UCCCUGAUUACUCAGAGGGUAAAGCUUCUGCCUGCAAUGCAGGAAACCCAGGUUCAAUUCCUGGGUUGGGAA
rnacentral:tRNA from 1 species